UACAGAGGGUGCAAGCGUUGCUCGGAUUUACUGGGCGUAAAGCGUACGCAGACGGCCACGCAGGUCGGGUGUGAAAGCCCCGGGCUCAACCCGGGAAUUGCAUUCGAAACCAUGUGGCUCGAGUGUGGGAGAGGGUAGUGGAAUUCCUGGUGUAGAGGUGAAAUUCGUAGAUAUCAGGAGGAACACCGGUGGCGAAGGCGGCGACCUGGGUAGAUACUGACGCUGAGGUGCGAAAGCGUGGGGAGCGAACAGG
rnacentral:rRNA from 1 species